UGGGGAGUUUCCCGAGCGGUCAAAGGGGGCAGACUGUAAAUCUGUUGGCUACGCCUUCAUAGGUCCGAAUCCUAUACUCCCCAU
rnacentral:tRNA from 1 species